rnacentral:tRNA from 4 species
GGUGAGGUGGCCGAGAGGCUUAAGGCGGCGGUUUGCUAAACCGUUGUACGGGGUUAAAUCCGUACCGAGGGUUCGAAUCCCUCCCUCACCGCCA